rnacentral:ncRNA from 2 species
UUUCUCCAUAGGUGCUGCAGAUGAUUACAAUAGAAUUGGUUCUUCAUUAUAUGCUUUAGGAACUCAGGAUUCUACAGAUAUAUGCAAAAAAUAGAAGCACGAGUGUCUGCUGAUGAAGACCUCAAACUUUCUGAUCUUUUAAAAUAUUACUUAAGAGAAUCUCAAGCUGCUAAGGUAAUUUUAAUCUUUUUUUAAAUGAGCCAUUUUACAAACAGCCAUUUCUUGAGUUUGUUAGACUUCAGAUUGUUAAUGAUGAUUUAUCUCCUUUAUAUGAUUUUAAAUUAUAUUUUCAAAUAUGAAUUCUAUUUCUCCUUUUAGAAAUUGUAUAUAUGUGUAUAA